GAUGAACGCUGGCGGCGUGCCUAAUCCAUGCAAGUCGAGCGAACGGACGAGAAGCUUUCUUCUCUGAUGUUAGCGGCUGACGGGUGAGUAACACGUGGAUAACCUACCUAUAAGACUGGGAUAACUUCGUGAAACCGGAGCUAAUACCGGCUAAUAUUUUGAACCGCAUGGUUCAAAAGUUAAAGACGGUCUUGCUGUCACUUAUAGAUGGAUCCGCGCUGCAUUAGCUAGUUGGUAAGGUAACGGCUUACCAAGGCAACGAUGCAUAGCCGACCUGAGAGGGUGAUCGGCCACACUGGAACUGAGACACGGUCCAGACUCCUACGGGAGGCAGCAGUAGGGAAUCUUCCGCAAUGGGCGAAAGCCUGACGGAGCAACGCCGCGUGAGUGAUGAAGGUCUUCGGAUCGUAAAACUCUGUUAUUAGGGAAGAACAUAUGUGUAAGUAACUGUGCACAUCUUGACGGUACCUAAUCAGAAAGCCACGGCUAACUACGUG
rnacentral:rRNA from 1 species